rnacentral:rRNA from 1 species
UACAGAGGUCUCAAGCGUUGUUCGGAUUCAUUGGGCGUAAAGGGUGCGUAGGUGGCGCCGUAAGUCGGGUGUGAAAUUUCGGAGCUUAACUCCGAAACUGCAUUCGAUACUGCGGUGCUUGAGGACUGGAGAGGAGACUAGGAAUUCAUGGUGUAGCAGUGAAAUGCGUAGAGAUCAUGAGGAACACCAGUGGCGAAGGCGGCUACCUGGACCGGUUCUGACGCUGAUGCGCGAAAGCGGUGGGUAGCAAACAGG